GUUCAGACUCUAACUAUUAACUGAAUAUACUUAUAUAUCUGAAUAUAUUUUAUGUUAUGAUUCAUUUUCAGAGUAGCUGUCUUUACCAGGCCCAAACCCAGAUAAACUGGACAUAGGAGGUAUGAAGCAGUAACUGAACAAUGGGACAAUUUUUGUUUACUAUCCUGAAACAAUGGUCUCCGCCCACGCUCCGGUCCGGUUUGGAGGGUCUGGUCCGAGUCCUCCUUGCACCCUCAGACCAGAUGUUCCUGACCAAAGCGUGCUGAGCAGGAAGACCACUCUUAUAUGUGAGGACUUGGGGACAUGGAUGACUGGACGGCAGACUUCCUUAACACAAAAGUCCAGCGGAUCUGAAUGACUUUAGUCUUGGCAAGAGCAGAGGAACAACCUGCUCUGAGCACGUGCAGAUGGCCAGCAGCAUAUUCAAUUUCAAAAACAUUGUCCAGAUGACAGCCUUUGAAAACUCUUCCACCAUCUCAAUUAAAUAUUAGAGGCCCAUGGUUAUGCUGUCCAGGUCUGGGCAGGGUCUAAACUACUGAUUUUCUGGUUGGUCAGCAAACUUUGAGCCACUUCCAUUGUCUAGAAAAACCAUACAAGGGCUGCAGUACUCUUACUCAAAUGAAAUUCUUCAGAUGUUCAAACCUUCAUUAUCAUUAAAGCUGGAUAAGAGUAUGAGGAAAAACUCACUUGCCAGUAAAUUUUAUACUUUUAUUUACAUUGACACAUUUU